rnacentral:rRNA from 1 species
AUUGAACGCUGUCGGCAGGCCUAACACAUGCAAGUCGAGCGGAGCGGCGGUCGGGUUAGCAAUGCCUAGAAAUCUGCCUGGUUGUGUGGGCUAACGUCCGGAAACGGGCGCUAAUACCGCAUACUAUCAGAUGAGCCUAGGUCGGAUUAGCUAGUUGUUGGGGUAAUGGCCUACCAAGGCGACGAGCGGUCACUGUGCUGAGCGGAGGAUCAGUCACACUGGAACUGAGAAACUGUCCAGACUCCUACGGGAGGCAGCAGUGGGGAAGAUGGGACAAUGGGCGAAAGCCUGAUCCAGCCAGGCGGGGUGUGUAAAGAAGGUCUUCGGAUUGUAAAGCACGUUAAGAUGGGAGGCGAUACCAACAGAAUAAGGACCGGCUAACUUCGUGCCAGCAGCCGCGGUAAUUG